UCAUUAGACCCCUAAGAGCCAGAGAGAAAUUUAAAGGCGGCGGCUCUGAGAGACCCUUUCCCCAAAAAAUACAGUGAACAUCGACUUCAAGGAGGACCUCAAGUUUCAGCCAUGAGAGGACCUUCCUAAUCCCCUUCCGAAGCGUCCGUUCCCCUCUUUCUUCUUCAUCGUUCUAUUGCUCACAGAACAGAGAACGGCGCAAAUCUGAGCUCCCUUAUUCUAUUUUGAUUCCUUCACUUCUCGACACAGACGAAGAAGACCUUCACAUUCACACACGAUAAAAUGUGCCUACAAAAUUCGGGAAUCUAGGAAAUUCAAGAGUUUUAAAAAGCAAAGAAAAGGUAAAAAAAUUUAAAUGACAAAAGAGUUUCAAAUCUGGUCCAGUUCUUUCCCGUUUCUUCUGCUGCAAUUUCUAGAAAUCCGAGUGAUUUUGGAGCUGUGAUAAGUGCUUGUUUUGCGGUUUGCUAUGCUGAAUUCGUAGAUGAACGCUGACCUUCAAUAUCAGCCUUCAUAUGGCGUUUGUUGUUCGUUUCUGCUAGCGAAAAGGUAUAUCCUUAGACUCAAAAGAUAUUGGAGCCAUAUCAGCAUGUAUGCACACAUUUGAAGUUGCAUAAUGAAGAACUAUUUGAUAGCUGUUGUUUAGCUUAGCCUUUUGGUUUAGUUGAUCUAUUUAAGCAAUGAUUGAAAUGUAUUAAUUAGGACUUUACAGACCAUACUGAACUGCUGCAUUUUCUGUCAAAUUCUAUGGUUACCCUGUUGAAUAAUAUUAGAUGCGAUUAACUAUAGUUUAUUGCCAUAUUUGAGAUUUACGUUCAGGGUGUAACAGUGGCUUAAUAGUGAUGGUUUAGUGUUAUUAAAAACA